rnacentral:rRNA from 1 species
GAUGAACGCUGGCGGCGUGCCUAAUACAUGCAAGUCGAGCGAACAGACGAGGAGCUUGCUCCUCUGACGUUAGCGGCGGACGGGUGAGUAACACGUGGAUAACCUACCUAUAAGACUGGGAUAACUUCGGGAAACCGGUGCUAAUACCGGAUAAUAUAUUGAACCGCAUGGUUCAAUAGUGAAAGACGGUUUUGCUGUCACUUAUAGAUGGAUCCGCGCCGCAUUAGCUAGUUGGUAAGGUAACGGCUUACCAAGGCAACGAUGCGUAGCCGACCUGAGAGGAUGAUCAGCCACACUGGAACUGAGACACGGUCCAGACUCCUACGGGAGGCAGCAGUAGGGAAUCUUCCGCAAUGGGCGAAAGCCUGACGGAGCAACGCCGCGUGAGUGAUGAAGGUCUUCGGAUCGUAAAACUCUGUUAUUAGGGAAGAACAAAUGUGUAAGUAACUAUGCACGUCUUGACGGUACCUAAUCAGAAAGCCACGGCUAACUACGUG